rnacentral:rRNA from 1 species
UUCUAUUAAUAGCCUAUUUAAAGGGUUGGAAAAUACGAACAAUAGUUUAAACACCAAAGAAUUUGGCGGUGUCUUAAAUAAUUAGGGGAACCUGUCCCUUAAAUCGAUAAUCCACGAAAGUCUUACCUAAUUUUGAAACUCAGUUAGUGUACUGCCGUCUUAAGUAUACCUUUAUGAGUGUAUACGAAAAAUUACUAAGAUUAAUUUAACGUCAGGUCAAAGUGCAGCUUAUAAUUAGGAGGAGAUGGGUUACAAUCUUUAUAAAGAUACAAAUAUUAUCAAUAAAAUGGUUUUUGAAGGUGGACUUAACAGUAAUUACUUAUAAUGGAAUGAAAAAUAUAUAAGACAAGU